AACCACUUUUCACAUUUCCCAUGUGUUCAAAGAUAAUGAAUAAUGUUACAGGGAAACGCAGGAAGAAAAAAAUUAUUGGGCGCAUCUUCUUACUUGUGAGCGAGCAGGAGUGUGUCAUGGCUUUCCCAAUAACAGGCAAGGUGUUUACCAGCUGAACGGAUUCUCAGGGGUGGCCGAACUUUGAUACUGAUCUCUUUAGGUGUCAAUGAAAACAUCUCAGGAAGACCUUAUUGAUAGAAAAAUGUAGAGAAAUGUGUUUAGUACAACAUCAUUCUUGCUGACCCUGAGGAGGGAUCCUCGUCUUAUAAAUAAGCUGGAUAGAACACCAAGGCCUAAAUCAAGAAUUACCAACACCUGCAAGCGACAAACAUCAAAUAUUUAACCAACUCAUAUCAAAUUCAGAAGGGAAUAUAAACAUAUACAGUUGCUGAUCAUUAUCCCGUUUCACAAUGAAGCAUAAUCAAUGUAUAUGGAAUUAUGUGAGAGUUCAAACCUAAGACUUCCCAUGUUAAUUUGUCAUUCCUCUAUGAAAGAAAACUAUAUAGAUUAUGAGAAACUUUUGNNNNNNNNNNNNNNNNNNNNNNNNNNNNNNNNNNNNNNNNNNNNNNNNNNNNNNNNNNNNNNNNNNNNNNNNNNNNNNNNNNNNNNNNNNNNNNNNNNNNUUUUUUUUUUGAAAUUUUUCCCAAAAUUUUUUUUUUCGCCGUGAAAAAUUAGGGGAAAGUUUUUUUAAAUUUUUUGGGGUUUUUUUUUUUAUAUAAAUUUAAAAAAAAAAAAAAGGGGGUUCACCCCUUUUUAAAAAUUUCCCCGUUUUUUUUUUAAAAAAAAAACCCCCCCCCCUUUUUUUUUUCCUUUUUUUUUUUUUUUAAAAAAAAAUAAUAUAAAAAAAAAUCCCUUUUUUUUUAAAAUUUUCCCUUUUUUUUUUUAUAAAAAACCCGUUUUUUUUUUUUUUUUUUUUUUUUUAAAUUCCCCCCAUUUUUUUUUUUUUGGGGAAAAAGGUUUUAACCCCCUUUGGGCCCCCCGGGGGGGUUUUUUAAAUUUUUUUUAAAAAAAAAAAAAUAUCCCCCCUGUAUUUUCCUUCCCCUGGGUUUUGGGGUUUUUUUUUUUUUUGAAAAAAAUUUUUUUUUUUUCCCCAAAUUUUUCCCCCAAAAAAUUUUUAAAAAAAAUUUUUUUAAAAACCUUUUUUUUUUUUUUUUUUUCCCCCCCCCCCCCCCCCCCCCCCCCCAACCAAGGAGGAAAAUGUCGGGAUAUAUCGGGAGGAGUCGACACGAUAUCUCGUGGAGAAAAAUCGGAGGGGAGAUAUUUCCGCAAAAAUCGCCAAAAUAUCGGCGAUAUAUCGGCUCAGGGAGAUAUAUCGGCGAAGAUAAAUUGUCGAUUUUUUGGCGAUAUUUCCCCUCCUUCAUGCAACGUGAUCUGACGGCCUAGAUCACGCUCGUGUUGAUCCGACGGCCUAGAUGUGAUUCCAAUGGUAAUAUGGCGAUCCAACGACCAGAUUGCUCCUAGUUUUUGAUCCAACGGCCAAAAUUAAUUUUCAACGGUAAAUUAAUGUUCCAACGGCUAUUUUGGCCAAAAUUUCUUCUAUAAAUAGCCCAAAUUUCAUCUAUUUCAUCCAUUUUUGCUUUCAUUCUUCAUUUGCUCUCUCAUUACUCCAAUUUUUAUUAAGGUUGCUCAAUUAUUUAAUCAUUUUAAGGUAUAUUUGUUUUAAAUUGUAAUUAAUUUUGUUUGCAGUUGUAAUUAAUUCAUGUAUUUUCAAUUAAUUAGUAUGUUUGCAAUAUGGAUGAUUUAAUGCUAUUUUUACAUUCAAUUGUAAUUAAUUUUUACAUUUUUAUUGAAUUAACUUAGGUUAAUUUGAUUAUUUAAUUAUAAAUUGAUAUGUUUAUUUUAGAUGAUUAUUUGUGAUUUAUUUUCACAUUUAGAAUUAAAUUAAACUAGUUAACUUAGCUAAAUUAUUUAAUUAACAUGAACUAGUAUAUUUUGAAUAUGAAAUAUGUUUAUUUAAUGAAUUUAAUGUGUACAAAUUAUUGAUAUUUAAUGAAAUGAAGUAUUUUAUGUGACUUUAUAAUGAGAACAAUUACAAAAUUAACAUUUCUUAUAGAUCGACAUGAUAUAAUUACAUCUAAUAUCACAAAUUAUAUCAUAUGUAUAUCAAAUUUUUCAAUAAAACAACUUUAAAAUGUCCAUUAUACUUUUAAUUAUAUCAUUAUGGGGUUUUCCUUGUAUUUCCAUGAGUUUUUAACAAUUUUAAGCCUACCGAUAUUUUUUUCCAAAAUAUUUGUCAAUAUAUCUCCGAUAUAUCCGAUAUAUCCGUAAAAUCGAAGUACCGAUAUAUCCGUGAUUACCAAUAUUUUCAUCCUUGCCCCCAACACACACAUGCCCCCUUAAUAUUUUUGGUAGCUACUGAAGUUGGUUGAAUUGAUUCAAUUAACUGAUUGACGUUCCACAAAUUUGGAACUUAUAGAUUAUCAAUCUGUGUUGCAAACUGGCAUAUAAAAGAAAAAAUCAUGUGUGUUGUGAACUGAAUUGAUUUGUCUUACAAGUGUUAAUUAUUUCUACAUGCUUCAAAUGUUCCAGGUCUUUUGGGAUUAUUAAACGGUUUGACAACAAUUCCAAAAAACACCUGGUAAGGGAAGAUUUCCUGUGUUCUGUAAGAUUAGUUGACAAUAUGUUUAUAUUCAUAUAAGAUACAUCUCUGUUGUUGCAGAUCAUGUUUGAAGAUGGUGAUGGGGAAUUUCUUGACAUGUCAAAAGAAGAUUGGGAAUUUGUAACUUUAUGAUGUAAUAUGGGGUGAGUUUGUCCUUUACUUAACAGUGCUUCUAUUUCAAAGUUGGUAUUGGAUCUAAUACUGUAAUGCUAUAUUCUCAUUAUUUCUGUAUAUAUACUUAAAAAUUGACAAAAUAUGAUAUGGUAUGAUUCUUACAAGUGCACUACAGUUUCAGCUAAAAUGAUACGGAUCACUGAUAUGUAUUGCAUCUCAUGACACAUAUAAUGCACAGUACCAUAACAAUAUAAUAUGUUAAGGUUGAAAGUCAAUGAAAAAAAGGAAGGGAAGAGAGAAUGAUGACAUGGGUGUUGAAAGCAAAGAAAAUAAGUGAAAUUUGAUUAUUGUUGCUAUGAAUGUUGGGGAAAUGUGGUUUGAAUCGAACACAUGGUUGCUUGGAUGAUGUAAAUAUUGACCAUGAGAAUGAUGAUGACCAAGAACAAAAGUUUCUUCUUAAUCUAUUAUAGUUUUCUUUCAUAGAGGAAUGACAAUUAACAUGGGAAGUCUUAGUUUUGAACUUCUCACAUAAUUCCAUAUACAUUGAUUAUGCUUUCAUUGUUGAAACGGGAUAAUGAUCAGCAACUGUAUAUGUUUAUAUUCCCUUCUGAAUUUGAUAUGAGUUGGUUAAAUAUUUGAUGUUGUCGCCUUGCAGGUGUUGGUAAUUCUUGAUUUAGGCCUUGGUGUUCUAUCCAGCUUAUUUAUAAGACGAGGAUCCCUCCUCAGGGUCAGCAAGAAUGAUGUUGUACUAAACACAUUUCUCUACAUUUUUCUAUCAAUAAGGUCUUCCUGAGAUGUUUUCAUUGACACCUAAAGAGAUCAGUAUCAAAGUUCGGCCACCCCUGAGAAUCCGUUCAGCUGGUAAACACCUUGCCUGUUAUUGGGAAAGCCAUGACACACUCCUGCUCGCUCACAAGUAAGAAGAUGCGCCCAAUAAUUUUUUUCUUCCUGCGUUUCCCUGUAACAUUAUUCAUUAUCUUUGAACACAUGGGAAAUGUGAAAAGUGGUUAAAGGAUCUUGCUCUUGAAAUCUGAUGUGAAAAGUUGAGCUUAAUUAGAUGCUUUAGAUAAUCUAGUUGGAAGAUGUCGAAUUCUAAUGCUUGGAAGCAUCCAUUGUACUGAACCUUUUGUGGUUGGAUCAUCCUUGU
rnacentral:lncRNA from 1 species